AUGUUGAGAAUAUGUUUGAGGCUAAGAGCAAUCCUAAUUAAACAUGUUCAGUUUAUCGUGGCCUUUGCAAUUGUAGUAUUCACUGCCCAACAGUUUCAAAUAAAAAGGGAAGAUGAGACAAGGCAGAAGGAGAUGGAUUGGGAGCUGCACACACAAACUUUCAAACUAAUUUUAUACCCGUUGCAACGGACGGGCCCUUUUGCUAGUGUGUGUGUGUGUGUGUGUGUGUGUGUGUGUGUGUGUGUGUGUGUGUGUGUGUGUGUGUGUAUGUAUAUAUACACACGUGCGUUGGAACGGGUAUAA
rnacentral:rRNA from 1 species